AUGCAGUCGACGGUGACGACGGGGCUUGCUCUGUCUGAUCAGUGGCGAACGGGUGAGUAACACGUGAGUAACCUGCCCCCGACUCUGGAAUAACCGUGGGAAACGACGGCUAAUACCGGAUAUGAGACGCACGGGCAUCUGUGUGUCUGGAAAGAUUUAUCGGUCAGGGAUGGACUCGCGGCCUAUCAGCUUGUUGGUGGGGUAAUGGCCCACCAAGGCGACGACGGGUAGCCGGCCUGAGAGGGCGACCGGCCACACUGGGACUGAGAUACGGCCCAGACUCCUACGGGAGGCAGCAGUGGGGAAUAUUGCACAAUGGGCGCAAGCCUGAUGCAGCGACGCCGCGUGAGGGAUGAAGGCCUUCGGGUUGUAAACCUCUUUCAGCAGGGAAGAAGCGAAAGUGACGGUACCUGCAGAAGAAGCGCCGGCUAACUACGUGCCAGCAGCCGCGGUAAUACGUAGGGCGCAAGCGUUGUCCGGAAUUAUUGGGCGUAAAGAGCUCGUAGGCGGUUUGUCGCGUCUGCUGUGAAAACCUGAGGCUCAACCUCGGGCUUGCAGUGGGUACGGGCAGACUAGAGUGCGGUAGGGGUGACUGGAAUUCCUGGUGUAGCGGUGGAAUGCGCAGAUAUCAGGAGGAACACCGAUGGCGAAGGCAGGUCACUGGGCCGCAACUGACGCUGAGGAGCGAAAGCAUGGGGAGCGAACAGGAUUAGAUACCCUGGUAGUCCAUGCCGUAAACGUUGGGCACUAGGUGUGGGGCUCAUUCCACGAGUUCCGUGCCGCAGCAAACGCAUUAAGUGCCCCGCCUGGGGAGUACGGCCGCAAGGC
rnacentral:rRNA from 1 species